rnacentral:rRNA from 1 species
UACGUAGGGUGCGAGCGUUGUCCGGAAUUAUUGGGCGUAAAGAGCUCGUAGGCGGCUUGUCGCGUCGGAUGUGAAAGCCCGGGGCUUAACUCCGGGUCUGCAUUCGAUACGGGCAGGCCAGAGUUCGGUAGGGGAGAUCGGAAUUCCUGGUGUAGCGGUGAAAUGCGCAGAUAUCAGGAGGAACACCGGUGGCGAAGGCGGAUCUCUGGGCCGAUACUGACGCUGAGGAACGAAAGCCAGGGUAGCGAACGGG